rnacentral:lncRNA from 1 species
AGGGUCUAAACUCUGAUAAACUUCUGAGGGCUAGCUAUGAUUUGAAGUUGGAAUAGCCAGCGCCUUGACCCGUUCAAAAGAGGUUGGCAACAACCAUUUCGAUCGUGGUGAGUGUUUGCCUUCCAUCAGUUGCUGUCAACUUGUACUUUUCUUAGAUUCCUUCAGGAGGUGUUUAUCCGUGCACCCUUAGCUAUCUGAACGAGAUAACCCGCAACGCGUCAAUAUACUCUCUCUUCGUACAAUAUUCCAAGAUGGAAAAGGUAAUGUAAAUCAAACAAUUCGCACGGGUACUUCAAAAAACAUUUGGGAAGCUAUGUAACAGGGAGUGAAAAAUAGUGCAUAAUUAACAUUUUAAUUCACAUCGUGCGCAAACAAAAUAAACAAAUAGUAUACAUCUAUUUGGUUUCCAUGCUCGGCUCUGAUUGGAUGUUGGGAUUAGUUAUCCAUCGAUAACGCAUGCGUUGUGGAAGUAGAGGUGUGAAGGGAGGCGUUUGGUGAUAGCAGACUUGAUCCAUGUUUGCCUUGGAUAUGUCAACAUGGCUGUCAUCUUUAAUAUAUUUCAAAUUUAAAUUUUGAAUUUCAAAUAAUACUAUAAUAGUUUAUAAAAUUACAUGAUACAUUAACAUGAUCAUCAUUUUUGGUACAUUUUAAAUUUGAAUUCAAAUUUCAAACGCCUGGCAUAUCUUGUAAGUGAGGCAGAUAUGAAUCAAAUCGGCUAUCAUUAAAGAAUAAAUAGCACAAGAAAGAAUAUAAUCAGACUGAUUUAAGAAAAUCAUCAAACUUGAUGUAAAUCACUAAUUUGAUCAUUACAAGUUAGACUAAAUAGGGGCUA